CGCAGACGUAACCGUGUUCGCGGUAAGACGACGGCGUCGACCGAAUGACCUACGGUUGCGGUACGAUCGACGCGGCGAGACGAAAACCUACCCACUCCCCGGACUUUUCGCUUGCUGUCGAAGACGACGACUGCGAGUGACGUAUUGCACAUGCGGACACUACCGGUCGCAACAACACGUGUGCCACGGUGUAAACGGCGACUGCAGCAACAGUUGAACGCGCGACGACGACGACCACUACAUGCGGUACCGGUCCGACUGUUGCGCACUGCGCAGUGGCGUGUGGCGCCGCGGCGGACGGCGAUGCGGUUCGGCGGCCGUCGGCUCGCCCGCAUCUGCGAGACUUUGAUCGCACUCGGAACGGCUGUGCCAACAGAGAGCGCGCGCACCGACUAUAAUAUUAUUAUAAUAUUAGGACUAUAUUAUUGUGAUAUUAUUAUUAUAUUAAUUGUAAAAACAUAACUGAUAUUCCUAAUAUGUAAACAUUUAAUCUAAGGCCCUUGUUUUUCACUAGCAGGUUUAAACUUGUUAAAUAAAGCUCUGCUUCAAACUAUCAACUGUAAA